rnacentral:rRNA from 1 species
CGAUUGACGUUACCCGCAGAAGAAGCACCGGCUAACUCCGUGCCAGCAGCCGCGGUAAUACGGAGGGUGCAAGCGUUAAUCGGAAUUACUGGGCGUAAAGCGCACGCAGGCGGUCUGUCAAGUCGGAUGUGAAAUCCCCGGGCUCAACCUGGGAACUGCAUUCGAAACUGGCAGGCUAGAGUCUUGUAGAGGGGGGUAGAAUUCCAGGUGUAGCGGUGAAAUGCGUAGAGAUCUGGAGGAAUACCGGUGGCGAAGGCGGCCCCCUGGACAAAGAC